rnacentral:rRNA from 1 species
UGCCAGCAGCCGCGGUAAUACAGAAGCCUCAAGCGUUACCCGGAUUCACUGGGCGUAAAGGGUUCGUAGGCGGUUAUAUUAGUCGAGAGUUAAAUCCUGAGGCUCAACCUCAGGCUCGCAUUCGAAACGGUAUAACUAGAAGAUGUGAGAGGUAAACAGAACUCUCGGUGUAGGGGUGAAAUCCGUUGAUAUCGAGGGGAAUACCAAAUGCGAAGGCAGUUUACUGGCACAUUCUUGACGCUGAGGAACGAAAGCGUGGGUAGCGAACGGGAUUAGAUA